rnacentral:ncRNA from 1 species
AUCAGGCCCGCCGCGCGGGUCAGGCCGGCGCCGCCCCACUUCACUAUCGGAGGGACGGAAGCAUCCGGUCCGGCGCCCGUCGAUAACCUGGCGCCACG